rnacentral:rRNA from 1 species
GACGUAGGUGGCGAACGUUAUCCGGAAUUAUUGGGCGUAAAGGGUGCGUAGACGGUGUAGUAAGUUAGCAGUGGGAAAUCGAAGCUCAACUUCGUGGAAACUGUUAAUGCUACUAUACUCGAGUGCAGGAGAGGUUAACGGAACUCAAUGUGGAGCGGUAAAAUGCGUAGAUAUAUUGAAGAACACCAAUAACGGCGAAGGCAGUUAACUAUUCUGUUACUGACGUUGAGGCACGAAAGCGUGGGGAGCAAAAAGG